AUGCCAUGGUGAGGGCAUUUCCUUAAAAAAAUUUUGAACAUUUCCCAAGCAUACCAAAUUGAUUCAUCUUCCAUUUGUCUAAACAUGGAAAUUUCAUUUUUGACUU